rnacentral:rRNA from 1 species
GACGAACGCUGGCGGCGUGCUUAACACAUGCAAGUCGAACGGAGUGGCGAACGGGUGAGUAACACGUGGGUGAUCUGCCUUGCACUUCGGGAUAAGCUUGGGAAACUGGGUCUAAUACCGGAUAGUGCAAGAGGAGCUCGCGGCCUAUCAGCUUGUGGGUGGGGUAAUGGCCUACCAAGGCGUCGACGGGUAGCCGGCCUGAGAGGGUUGACAGCCACAUUGGGACUGAGAUGCGGCCCAGACCCCUACGGGGGGCAGUGGGGGGGAAUAUUGCACAAUGGGCUGAAGUCUGAUGCAGCGACGCCGGGUGGGGGAUGAAUGCCUUCGGGUUGUAAACUCCUUUCGACAGGGACGCGGUACCUGUAUAAGAAGCACCGGCUAACUACGUGCCAGCAGCCGCGGUAAUAC